GUUCUGUGUGAUUCAAGCUAUGAUUUUGCUGCAGUGCUUACCAUGUUUUACCUUCUCAUUCUGUUGCAGAGCUUGUUUUUCAGUUUGUACAUAUUUUACUGGUUUUCAGUUCUCUUGGGUUUGUUAAUGCUACUAUGAUCCCCAUGGAGGCAUCAAUGAUUAAUUGUGAAGGAUCGGCAAUCAUGAAGAACUUUUAGAGUUAUGGCCAUCAGAAAGAGCUAAAUAAUUUUGGAAAUGGGGAAUGAAAGACCAUUCUGGUUGAUACUUCCUAAUACUUAGUUUAUUCAGUUGGUGGAUGGAUGUUUCAGUUCCUGCUAGCGAUCUAGAAUUAUUCUUCUUCCUCAUAUAGGUGAUUGGUGGGAG